rnacentral:lncRNA from 1 species
UAGGAAUCAUUUGGAGAUGGGUUGUAGAUAUUAAGCUAUGAAGGAGAUGAUUUUGAGGUAACAAGCCUUCAGCUUGCUUUCUGUUAACCUUUUUAUGCAUGGGUUCGAUUUGAUGCAAUCUAGGCAUUGUUUGUUGUCGAAUGGAUUAUUUUUUCCUUCUAGGUAACAUCUGAUACUUAGAAUGCAUUAUUUCUGAUGGCCCAGAAAAAACUCUGUGUGCAUAUUGUUCUGUUUAGAUGCAUACAAGAUGCAUGUUUGUGCCUCAUACCUGCUGAUUUGUAUGACUGAGGAACUCUCUUUCUUCCUAGAUGUGGCCAUAUGCUCUUCACUGAUAUAUCAUCUCCUUACUCUUGUAUAUUAUUCACAUAUAGCAUCUCAUUUCUUGGUUGAUUGCUUAUAUAUAUUCAACUUCUGUUUCCUGGCAUUCAUAUAUUACAAGCUAAAUAAAGUUUGCCAUUCCUUUUGGCCAUUUAUAGUUGUAACUAGAAGCAUGGAUGAUCUGUGAUGCUGGCAAUUGUCAGAUUGCACCCAUUUAAUUAUAGCACAAUAUAUCACAUUUGUGGUAAAUUUAGCUAAGCUUGUGCCUACCCUUUUAGUAGUCAAUAUGGUUCAGAUCCAGUAUUUUUUAUUUCCUUUUCUUUUUUUGCUUUCAGCACACAUAUGGCAUUAAAGUUCUUUAUCAUGUAUGUAGGCAAAGUAGUUGUGUCACUUACUGAUGCUCUUAUGGUACACAGUACACUAUUAAGCUGUUGGGCCCAGAAACAGGAAGAGUAAUCCUCUUCCAAGGUUAAUUUUGUGCCUACUUCUUUAUGUACAUAACUCAUGAUUUGACAAAUAGUUAAGUUCCCUAUAUUUAUUUAUUUCUUUCUCUUUCGCUUUCUCUUUCCUAUUUAUGGUUCUGGAACAAAACUGCUAUCCUUUUCUACAAAUUGGAACAGAAAAUAAUGUUGACAAAUGAUUAUAACGGCUUAUUUAUUUUCUUGGUGUUAGAUUACUAAUGUGGAGAACUAUAAUUUUUAUUGAUGGUCGCUUGAUGGCGCUCAUUAGAAUUCAUAUAUGAAUCAAUAUAUUCUUCCACUCUAAUUAGCAUGUUUGGUCUAUUUAAUUUCAAACAUAUCUAUUAUUCACCAAGGCGACUGCCUAAUUUCAUAUGUGUUCAUAUGCAGAAGGUAAAGAUCGUCUAUUAUCGGCGGUUAUUUUACUUAGUUGUAGAUACUACUGAAUAGUUUGCUUAAAAUUUUGAUAGUUUAAAAGAAGUAUUAUGGUGUAGUGCAGUAAUAAUUUUAUUUAAAAUUGCAGACCUUGCAUCAUAUUUUGCUUGUGUAUGUGGGCAGUGUGUUCAAGUUGAUCUGGAACAAUUUGAAGGGUUUCCUCGACACAAAAUCUUCAGCCAAGGUUUACUGGAGCACCUCGAAUUAUGUAUAGAAGUUUAAAAUUGUAAUUGUUUCAGGUUCUUUGCCACAUUAUGUAUGUUUUUUUUUAUUUUUUUAAUAAUUGGAUCUAUUUGCUAUGUGGAACAUGUAGCAUUUACUUGAUCAUAAUCUAAUUCAAUUUUUGACCACCGUCUUUUGGCUCUUGCUUUCAACAUAUGUAGUAUCGCUUAGUCAUUUUCUUGACACGACACUUUAGGCAACGGCUCAGACUUCUUGAGCCAUUUUUCUAUUUAUUGUUGAUACAUCUUCCAAAAUAAACGAACAAUGUUUCCUCCAUAUAUGAAUGGCACAAUGACAUUAUGAAUUCUUUCCAGUCAAUUGAUCAUCAUAAGCCUCAUUCUGUAUUCUUUUUUUUUGCGGGAUAAGCCUCAUCCUGUAUUCAAUACAUUUAUGUGAUGUCUUCCUCGGGAUGGAAAUGUUCCUUGGCACCAUGACGAACAUCAACGGAGGAACAACCUUUUUAUUUUAUUUUCUGUUCCAUCUACUGUAUUGUUGCUGCCAUAAAGAUUUACCUGGACAUGGAGCCAUCAUGAUGUGUUCAAAAAUGAUUACAUUAUCCUUUUUCUAACCUGGUGGUGUUAGAAACAUCUUAGCAUUCAAGCAGGUUUAGUAUGUUGUCUAUUAAUUCCAUUAUGUAAAAAAAUCACUGAUCAUCGCUUGACAGAAAAUAUUUUGAUAUGCCAUCAUGUGCAUGGGCGAAGAACCUGGAUGUUAUUUACAUGUUUUGGAUCAUGGAUGAUUGUUUUGAAAGAAAAAAUAUCAAAUAAAAGAAAGCAUGUGAUAAUGCUGAUAGAUUGAAACUUUGGUUCCUUUUCAGAGGCCCACUUGGAUCCAGCCUUUCCAAUCUGCAUGAAUCUUCCUAAUUCAGCAAGGCCUUCAAACCUCGAUGCUUCUAAAUUUGUGAGCUAAAUGGUAAUUUUUGCAACACUCAAAACUGCACGCUGCCUUAUAGUUUGAGGAUGAUGUUGAGCUUAUCGGUGCUUUGCUCCUAUUUUGUUAUAUCCUGUUUGAAUACAUACGCUAAACUUGAUUUCCUACUAAAUUGAGCAUUCACUACUUGGCCAUAGCGUUGUGACCGGCAUACUCGCGCCAAGGCGCGUUUCCGAUCUAGUAGAAAACGCCCAGAGGAAGGGCAGCUAUUGUCUCAUGGGUUCCAAAGAAGAUGGACCUGUGCGCGUGCGAUUGAGAGGGACAACCAAUGGCAGAAAUCAGUACCAAGGCCCGGAAGCAAUCCCUUCAAAAGUCACACUCGGCACUGAAAGGCAAGAUUGACCCAAUUAAGCGUACCAGGAGGAAAUUUUUCAAGGCAAAUCAUGACUUUAUAGGUUAACAGUGUUCAGGCAAAUCACAUGAGACACAAACAACCACUCGAAGUGGUACAAUAGAGUCUCAACCAAUGCUCUCAUUUGGCAAACAUGUACGGCCAAUUUAAGUUGACUCAUGUGCAACAGAGUUUGCAUUACAUUUACAAACACUAGCUCACUGCUUAGAGAACCAC